rnacentral:rRNA from 1 species
UACGUAGGGGGCAAGCGUUGUCCGGAAUUAUUGGGCGUAAAGAGCGUGUAGGCGGUUCGGUAAGUCGGCUGUGAAAGUCCAGGGCUCAACCCUGGGAUGCCGGUCGAUACUGCCGGGCUAGAGUCCGGAAGAGGCGAGUGGAAUUCCUGGUGUAGCGGUGGAAUGCGCAGAUAUCAGGAGGAACACCAAUAGCGAAGGCAGCUCGCUGGGACGGUACUGACGCUGAGGCGCGAAAGCGUGGGGAGCGAACAGG